GACGAACGCUGGCGGCGUGCCUAAUACAUGCAAGUUGAGCGCUGAAGGUUGGUACUUGUACCGACUGGAUGAGCAGCGAACGGGUGAGUAACGCGUGGGGAAUCUGCCUUUGAGCGGGGGACAACAUUUGGAAACGAAUGCUAAUACCGCAUAAAAACUUUAAACACAAGUUUUAAGUUUGAAAGAUGCAAUUGCAUCACUCAAAGAUGAUCCCGCGUUGUAUGAGCUAGUUGGUGAGGGAAAGGCUCACCAAGGCGAUGAUACAUAGCCGACCUGAGAGGGUGAUCGGCCGCAUUGGGACUGAGACACGGCCCAAACUCCUACGGGAGGCAGCAGUAGGGAAUCUUCGGCAAUGGACGAAAGUCUGACCGAGCAACGCCGCGUGAGUGUAGAAGGUUUUCGGAUCGUAAAACUCUGUUGGUAGAGAAGAACGUUGGUGAGAGUGGAAAGCUCAUCAAGUGACGGUAACUACCCAGAAAGGGACGGCUAACUACGUG
rnacentral:rRNA from 1 species